UACGUAGGGUGCGAGCGUUAAUCGGAAUUACUGGGCGUAAAGCGUGCGUAGGCGGUUCGCUGUGUCCGAUGUGAAAGCCCCGGGCUUAACCUGGGAAUGGCAUUGGAAACUGGCGGGCUUGAGUGCGGCAGAGGGGGGUGGAAUUCCUGGUGUAGCGGUGAAAUGCGCAGAUAUCAGGAGGAACACCGAUGGCGAAGGCAGCUCGCUGGGACGGUACUGACGCUGAGGCGCGAAAGCGUGGGAGCAACAGG
rnacentral:rRNA from 1 species